UACGUAGGGUGCGAGCGUUAAUCGGAAUUACUGGGCGUAAAGCGUGCGCAGGCGGCUAUUUAAGCUUGCUGUGAAAGCCCCGGGCUCAACCUGGGAAUGGCAGUGAGGACUGGAUGGCUAGAGUGUGGCAGAGGGGGGUGGAAUUCCACGUGUAGCAGUGAAAUGCGUAGAGAUGUGGAGGAACACCGAUGGCGAAGGCAGCCCCCUGGGCUAACACUGACGCUCAGGCACGAAAGCGUGGGGAGCAAACAGG
rnacentral:rRNA from 1 species